CUGUAGUCAUUGCUGGGUAUUUUCUUACGGGAAAUUUCUGAUCAUAGACAUGGAUUCCUUGGUUAGUUUGAUGUUUGAGCUGCUAAUGGUGUUGAUGCAGUGUUCAUGGUGUGAGAAAUGGUUUUGCAGUCAAUUUCCAGUCAGGAUGUCUUGAAAUGGAGCUUGUGCAGACAUUCAGUUCAACAUCAUACUUCAAUGUGUUAUUUGCCUGUGUUGGUGACGUUGUUGUUGCAGUGUUGGGCUGUUGUGCAAAAUAGUCGAUGCUGCCUGGUGGCUGUCGGGCAUGUUUUAUCGGCUGCAUUUUGUCGAUGCGUCGUCUCGUCUCUUGCCACCUGUACACACGCUAAGUUUAAUUGUU